rnacentral:rRNA from 1 species
UUUAAGGUCUAAUCUGCCCUAUGAGGAAUUAAAUGGCCGCGGUACUUUGACCGUGCAAAGGUAGCAUAAUAAUUAGUUUUUUAAUUGAAAGCUGGAAUGAAAGAUUGGACGAGAAAAUAACUGUCUCAAUAUAAUUUAAUUAGAAUUUUAUUUUUAAGUAAAAAAGCUUAAAUAUUUUUAAAAGACGAGAAGACCCUAUAGAGUUUUAUAUUUUUUUAUUUAUAGGUUUGUUAGUAUAUUUUUAUUUGUAUUUAAAAAAGUAUUUUGUUGGGGUGAUAGAAAAAUUAAUUAAACUUUUUUUAAAAUUUUUACAUUGAUUUAUGAUUUGUUGAUCCAUUAUUAAUGAUUAUAAGAUUAAGUUACCUUAGGGAUAACAGCGUAAUUUUUCUUUAGAGUUCUUAUCGAAAGAAAAGAUUGCGACCUCGAUGUUGGAUUAAAAUAAACUUUUGGUGUAGGGGCUAGAAAGUUAGGUCUGUUCGACCUUUAAAAUUUUACA